UAGCCGGCUCUGUAAKUUUUCGGUUAAAUCCAUGUGCUCAACGCAUGGGCUGCCGAAAAUACUGCAUAGCUAGGGAGUGGGAGAGGUAGACGGUACUCGGUAGGAAGGGGUAAAAUCC
rnacentral:rRNA from 1 species